UUAAGGCUGCAGUAAACAUUCAUUGCUGUCGGUGGGUUUACAUGAAAAUAGCUCACUGAUCAAUGAAUGCAGACUGCGGUUCAAACA
ensembl:miRNA